UCCAGAAAAUUGGCUUUUUAUUCAAUUUGUUUGGCUUCGGAAGAUUCAUUUGGCUUUUUCCCGGCUCUUUCACUUGCUGACAUUAUCUGCAGGAAAAUUACAAGCCAUCCUGUUUCUGAAACAUUUUCCUUUGAGAAAGAUGUAUUUCGGUCAGUUCCAUUCGGCAAUAUCCAAACCGGCAACACGGCCGGUCACGUGAUCCGGCUCCAGUUUGUCUCGGAUGUGAUUUAUAAUCACACACAUCGACUUUCUAUACGGAAUCACGUUUUGUGGUGAAACUGUGACGCCUUCGGCUCUUUUUAUAAAUCAUUUAUCAUCAACACAUGUCGUCAAAGAAAUGGAAAGCUUGUUCCGAGAGCAAUCAACAACCAGACUGUUAGAGCAUUGGGAAGCUUUUCAAAGCCAACAGAGGCAACUAAAAGAAGACAAAAAGAUGGAAUACAAAGGUCAGCUCCAUCUUGGGUACUGGCCUACAAAGGACCCAGGACAUCUUCAGGGAGUGGUGUCUCAGAAAGGCAGCGUCCAUUAUUAAGCCCUUUUCUCACUGUUACCAUCAGGUCCAUCCAAAUGAGGCUCCCCGAUUGGCUGCGGGACAUUGAUGUCAUCAAGCAAUGUUUCCAGAUGGGUCUCUGUGAUUGGCACCAGGAUGGUGACAUCACUGAGUCAGGUAUCAUAGGCCUUGGCUGUGAUUGGUCCCAGGACUCAUCUCCAACAGGUUUUGCAUCAAAGACCCUACAAUUGGCUCUGAGGUUCCCACAGCAAUGGUGAUUGGCUUCCGAGCCUUGACGUCAUCAUGCCAUGUGACCGAUUUCACCCCUCUGAUGUGCUCCACCAGCAGCCCUGUUGGCACCCGGCCUGUCCCACUGGCGAUUGUCUCUCCCCCUAACACCCAACAACGGGCUCCUUUCCAGCCUUCACUGAACACUCGUGUGUGGCCGUUCAGCAACGGCUAUUGGCUCCAGUGGCC